GAAGUCUGAGAAUCGUGAGGCUGUCUAGACCAGCGGAGCUCUGGAGAGCAGUGCUGAGCCCCCGAGCAGAGAGAACACAGGGGUGUGCUGAUUUAAAAACAGAAAAUGCAAAGUUGGACUGAAAAUAUCCUUAGUCUUCCAAGCAAUCUGCUUAAGAGUUCCAAACUUACCUUCGUUUGGUGAGCGAAGGAGCUGCCCUAUUUUCUCUCCUCCUUCCUUCCUCUUUUACAGCUGGAACCAGCCGUUUCCCAAGGCCACCACCAUG
rnacentral:other from 1 species